rnacentral:rRNA from 1 species
UACAGAGGUCUCAAGCGUUGUUCGGAUUCAUUGGGCGUAAAGGGUGCGUAGGCGGUCGGGUAAGUCUGACGUGAAAUCCCGCAGCUCAACUGCGGAACUGCGUCGGAUACUAUUCGGCUUGAGGAAUGGAGGGGAGACUGGAAUUCUCGGUGUAGCAGUGAAAUGCGUAGAUAUCGAGAGGAACACCAGUGGCGAAGGCGAGUCUCUGGACAUUUCCUGACGCUGAGGCACGAAAGCCAGGGGAGCAAACGGG